rnacentral:lncRNA from 1 species
GCUGGACAAUUGGACAGCUGUGGUGGCGAAUCAAAGUUGUGGAACGAAAAGAAAAGCAAAAGGAUUGCAGAUCUGGAAAAGGUACAAUCCUAUCACAAUUCCUAACCAAACACAAUGAGAUCUAUUGGAUGGGAAUCGAAAUAUAUUUUAAAUUCCGCUGUGCAUGUAUAAGUAGAUUCCCAACAGUGGUAUCAGAGCC